UGGGGAAUCUUCCGCAAUGGACGAAAGUCUGACGGAGCAACGCCGCGUGAGUGAAGAAGGUUUUCGGAUCGUAAAACUCUGUCUUUUGGGGCGAACGUGAGUAUGGUGAACAAUCAUAGUCAGUGACGGUACCAAAGGAGGAAGCCACGGCUAACUACGUGCCAGCAGCCGCGGUAAUACGUAGGUGGCAAGCGUUGUCCGGAAUUAUUGGGCGUAAAGAGCGCGUAGGCGGGAUAGUCAGUCUGUUGUAAAAGUGCGGGGCUCAACCCCGUGAUCGCAAUGGAAACAGCUAUUCUUGAGUGCAGGAGAGGAAAGUGGAAUUCCCAGUGUAGCGGUGAAAUGCGUAGAUAUUGGGAGGAACACCAGUGGCGAAGGCGACUUUCUGGACUGUGUCUGACGCUGAGGCGCGAAAGCCAGGGGAGCGAACGGGAUUAGAUACCCCGGUAGUCCUGGCCGUAAACGAUGGGUACUAGGUGUGGGAGGUAUCGACCCCCUUUCCGUGCCGGAGUUAACGCAAUAAGUACCCCGCCUGGGGAGUACGGUCGCAAGACUGAAACUCAAAUGAAUUGAC
rnacentral:rRNA from 1 species